rnacentral:lncRNA from 1 species
AACGAAACUCCCCACGCUGCGCCGUGGAGAAUAAUCACUGCCUUUUCAGAGGCCGACUUCGCCCCCUGCCAAGACAGGGAGCUUGGGAGAUGUCUGCGCAAGGAUCACAAGGUCCCCCCGAAUACUCAAAAUAGACUUUGCAGAGAAGAUCCUUCCAACCUACUGUCUAGAGGGCAGAGGCAAGGCUGCAAGCAUUCCGGAAGUCCAACAGGGG